rnacentral:rRNA from 1 species
CCUACGGGAGGCAGCAGUGGGGAAUAUUGCACAAUGGGCGGAAGCCUGAUGCAGCGACGCCGCGUGAGGGAUGACGGCCUUCGGGUUGUAAACCUCUUUCAGCAGGGACGAGCGCAAGUGACGGUACCUGCAGAAGAAGCGCCGGCCAACUACGUGCCAGCAGCCGCGGUAAGACGUAGGGCGCGAGCGUUGUCCGGAUUUAUUGGGCGUAAAGAGCUCGUAGGCGGCUUGUCGCGUCGACUGUGAAAUCCCGCGGCUCAACCGCGGGUCUGCAGUCGAUACGGGCAGGCUAGAGUUCGGUAGGGGAGACUGGAAUUCCUGGUGUAGCGGUGAAAUGCGCAGAUAUCAGGAGGAACACCGAUGGCGAAGGCAGGUCUCUGGGCCGAUACUGACGCUGAGGAGCGAAAGCGUGGGGAGCGAACAGGAUUAGAUACCCUGGUAGUCCACGCUGUAAACGUUGGGCGCUAGGUGUGGGGGGCCGUCUCCGGUUCUCUGUGCCGCGAGCUACGCAUAGCGCCCCGCCCGUCGGGAGGUACGGCCGGCGACGGACGUAAACCGUACGAAGAAGUAGACGGCGUGAGACGUGCCGACGGACGACCGACGAGGGAGGAGGG